rnacentral:rRNA from 1 species
CAGCCUACGGGACGCAGCAGUGGGGAAUAUUGCACAAUGGGGGAAACCCUGAUGCAGCGACGCCGCGUGAGUGAAGAAGUAUCUCGGUACGUAAAGCUCUAUCAGCAGGGAAGAAAAAAAGUCUUUGGCUUUGGACGGUACCUGACUAAGAAGCCCCGGCUAACUACGUGCCAGCAGCCGCGGUAAUACGUAGGGGGCAAGCGUUAUCCGGAUUUACUGGGUGUAAAGGGAGCGUAGACGGCAGCGCAAGUCUGGAGUGAAAUGCCGGGGCUCAACCUCGGGACUGCAUUGGAAACUGUCUGGCU